rnacentral:lncRNA from 1 species
GCCGCUCCUCCACAUUCCUGCCCUCUCGCGGCCGGUGCCAUUGGUCGGAUCCACCCAGGGCACAAUCUGAAAAAUGUGUGCCAAGAGCUGUAAAACUGUUCAUUGAGCCCCCUUUGACCCGACCACACCAAGAAGACAGAGUGAGUUGGACUCACCUCCUGCUUAUGCAUUGGAGCAGUAUAAUGAGACAAUCCAUGAGGACGGAUCCUUUUUCCUGAUGACAAUAUAAUAUGCAAAGCAAAAGGAACACCAUGUGAUUCUCAGGUUCCAAAUUGAUUCUUCAGUGACUAGCUGUGUAUUUUUAUGGAGCUUGAUGAGCUGACAGGAAGCCACGGUCCCAAAGACUAGACAUGGAAACCUUAUUUAAAAAGAAAAUAGUGAUCAACAAAAUACAGAUAAUGUGCACAUUUUGCAUGUGGUCAUUUACCUAGGCUAGAAAAAGCCUAGAGUGGAGGAUUUCUGUCUACGCCCUACACCGUCGUCUAUAUAGAAGAAAAAACGACUAAGCUCUUGAUGCUCCUUAAGAUCUCCAGAUGAAAGAUACCGGAGGCGUCCAAGACAAUUAUUCACCAGUAUACUAUGAAAAAUUCUCAGAGGAGAAGGAGUUGGUCACAGCUCAACAGUGUACUUGGAAGUAAGUGAUACGAAAAGGAACUGAGUUUGCGAAAGGAUACGGAAGAUACGAAAAGAUACGAAAAGGAACUACACAGAGUUUGCAAUCAAGAACUGAUGAUUGAAUAAGUACUCAGUGUUUGUUUACUGAUCAAAUAAUCGAAUGAAUAUAUACAUGAAAAAACACAAAGAAUUGUAAUUCAAGAAAGGAGCUGGAGAACGAAGGCAGCUGCUCAGCACUGGCUCUCUGUGUGGCUUUGGCCAGAGAUGAAAAGGAGUCAGCGCCAGCCUGCAGUCAAGCUGGGUUUCACUGAAGGAGUCAUCUAGACAUGUGCCAGCCUCCCGGCCACUGCUGGGGGCAGGACUCACCACCUCCAGGGGAUGCUCACUAGGGUGGCCCCCUGACCACUCGUCCACACCCCACAGGGCCUGCACGGUGGCCAUUCCAAAGUGCUCCUUUGUUUUUGGUGUUAUUCUCUAGCCCAAAAACGUUGGUGACACCCCCUUGUUCACCUGCAGCAGUGUGUCCCCAAGAGGCACCUGUCCUGUGAGAUGCUCCUCAGAAACCCAGGCUGUAUCACUUGAGUUUGGAGAAUGCAGCCUUCUCUAUCCCACUCCCCCUUGCAG